rfam:Schistosoma mansoni strain Puerto Rico chromosome W, complete genome
AUCCAGGUGAUGUGUCUCAAAUAGGAUGAAACACGCGUCCUGGAU